rnacentral:rRNA from 1 species
GCCUGAGAGACGGCUACCACAUCUAAGGAAGGCAGCAGGCGCGCAAAUUACCCAAUUCUAACAGUUUGAGAGAGGUAGUAACAAGAAAUAACAAUACAAGCAAAUUAAAAUGCUUUGUAAUUGGAAUGAUAGAAAUUUAAACCCUUUUUAAAGUAUCAAUUGGAGGGCAAGUCUGGUGCCAGCAGCCGCGGUAAUUCCAGCUCCAAUAGCGUAUAUUAUUAUUGUUGCAGUUAAAAAGCUCGUAGUUGAAGUUCUGCUAAAAGUAACCGGUCUGCUUUAAAUAAAAGUGGUAUCUUGGUGUGUAUUUAGCAAUGAUGUCCUUUGAAGUGUUUUUUACUUUAUUGUAAUAAAGCAUAUUCAGGACUUUUACUUUGAGAAAAUUAGAGUGUUUCUAGCAGGCCGACGCUUUGAAUACUGCAGCAUGGAAUAAUAAGAUAGGAUUUUAGUUCUACAUUAUUGGUUUUAAGAGCUAGCUUAAUGAUUGAUAGGGACAGUUGGGGGCAUUCGUAUUU